rnacentral:rRNA from 1 species
UUUUGGACAAUGGGCGCAAGCCUGAUCCAGCCAUUCCGCGUGAGUGAAGAAGGCCUUCGGGUUGUAAAGCUCUUUCGCAAGGGAAGAAAACUUACUUUUUAAUAAAGAGUGAGGUUGACGGUACCUUGAUAAGAAGCACCGGCUAACUACGUGCCAGCAGCCGCGGUAAUACGUAGGGUGCGAGCGUUAAUCGGAAUUACUGGGCGUAAAGCGUGCGCAGGCGGCUUUGUAAGUCAGAUGUGAAAUCCCCGAGCUCAACUUGGGAACUGCGUUUGAAACUACAAGGCUAGAAUAUGUCAGAGGGGGGUAGAAUUCCACGCGUAGCAGUGAAAUGCGUAGAGAUGGGAGGAAUACCAAGGCGAAGGCAGCCCCCUGAUUUGAUUACGCUCAGCAGAGUA